ACAUCUCAACUCUCACACUUUGCUGUGAUGAGCUUGGACUUUUGGGGGUUUUGCUGGCCUAUGGUCAGCUCCUCUGAAACAGAUCAGCUUGCCAGUAUUUGGUGGCGUCACAGGUGUGAUAACUAUCUACGCUUGUGAUCAUUUGCCAAGUAACCUUUGGUGACGAAGGUUUGCUGGGGCUUAUAAAUGUCUCUCCUCAGUGAAGACAGCUUUUGACC
rnacentral:misc_RNA from 1 species